CUAGUGGCGCACGGGUGAGGAACGCGUGGAUAAUCUGCCUUAGAGUGGGGGAUAACUAGUCGAAAGAUUAGCUAAUACCGCAUAAGACCACAGGAGCUGCGGCUCUAGGGGUCAAAGGUUUUUCGCUCUAAGAUGAGUCCGCGUAAGAUUAGCUAGUUGGUGAGGUAACGGCUCACCAAGGCGACGAUCUUUAACUGGUCUGAGAGGAUGAUCAGUCACACUGGAACUGAGACACGGUCCAGACUCCUACGGGAGGCAGCAGUAGGGAAUAUUGCACAAUGGAGGAAACUCUGAUGCAGCGACGCCGCGUGAGUGAUGAAGGCCUUCGGGUCGUAAAGCUCUGUCGCAGGGGAAUAACACAAUGAAUGUACCCUGUAAGAAAGGAUCGGCUAACUUCGUGCCAGCAGCCGCGGUAAGACGAGGGAUCCUAGCGUUGUUCGGAAUUAUUGGGCGUAAAGCGGAUGUAGGUGGCUUUGUAAGUCAGAUGUGAAAGCCCAGGGCUCAACCCUGGAAGUGCAUUUGAUACUGCGAAGCUUGAGUGUCGGAGAGGUUACUAGAAUUGUUGGUGUAGUGGUGAAAUACGUAGAUAUCAACAGGAAUACCGGAGGCGAAGGCGGGUAACUGGCCGAACACUGACACUGAGAUCCGAAAGCGUGGGGAUCAAACAGGAUUAGAUACCCUGGUAGUCCACGCCGUAAACGAUGGAUACUUGUUGUUGGAGGUAUUGACC
rnacentral:rRNA from 1 species